GGGGGGGGGGGGGGGGGGGGGUGGGGCGGGCGGGGGGGGCGGCGGGGGGGGGCUGGUGUGGGGUGGUCGGGGGGCGAACGGGUGGGUAACACGUGAGUAGCCUGCCCUUGGCUGUGGGGUACCUUGCGGCCACUGGUGCUCAUGCCGGAUAGGGGGGCCUGGUGCGUGGGGUUGGGUGGCCAGUGUCUGCGGGUGGGGAUGUACGCUCGGUUUAUCAGCUUGUUGGUGGGGUAGUGGCUUACCAAGGCGUUGACGGUUAGCCGGCCUGAGAGGGUGACCGGCCACAUUGGGACUGAGAUACGGCCCAGACUCCUACGGGAGGCAGCAGUGGGGAAUAUUGCACAAUGGGCGGAAGCCUGAUGCAGCAACGCCGCGUGCGGGAUGACGGCCUUCGGGUUGUAAACCGCUUUCGCCUGUGACGAAGCGUGAGUGACGGUAAUGGGUAAAGAAGCACCGGCUAACUACGUG
rnacentral:rRNA from 1 species